AUUGAACGCUGGCGGCAUGCUUUACACAUGCAAGUCGAACGGUAACAGGCCGCAAGGUGCUGACGAGUGGCGAACGGGUGAGUAAUGCAUCGGAACGUGCCCAGUCGUGGGGGAUAACUACUCGAAAGAGUAGCUAAUACCGCAUACGAUCUAUGGAUGAAAGCGGGGGACCGUAAGGCCUCGCGCGAUUGGAGCGGCCGAUGUCAGAUUAGGUAGUUGGUGGGGUAAAGGCUCACCAAGCCAACGAUCUGUAGCUGGUCUGAGAGGACGACCCGCCACACGGGGACUGAGACACGGCCCAGACUCCUACGGGAGGCAGCAGUGGGGAAUUUUGGACAAUGGGCGCAAGCCUGAUCCAGCAAUGCCGCGUGCAGGAAGAAGGCCUUCGGGUUGUAAACUGCUUUUGUACGGAACGAAACGGCUCUGGCUAAUACCCGGGGAUAAUGACGGUACCGUAAGAAUAAGCACCGGCUAACUACGUG
rnacentral:rRNA from 1 species